rnacentral:rRNA from 1 species
UAACGAAUAUUCCGCAAUGCGCGAAAGCGUGACGGAGCAAUGCCGCGUGCAGGAUGAAGCCCUUCGGGGUGUAAACUGCUGUCAGGGUACAGGAACACAAUGACCAUACCCAAAGGAAGGGCCGGCUAACUUCGUGCCAGCAGCCGCGGUAAUACGAAGGGCUCGAGCGUUAAUCGGAAUCAUUGGGCUUAAAGCGUACGCAGGCGGACGCGCAGGCAUCUUGUGAAAUCCCUCGGCUCAACCGAGGAACUGCUUGGUGAACCGCGUGUCUUGAGGCAAGUAGGGGCUGUCGGAACGCUAGGUGGAGUGGUGAAAUGCGUUGAUAUCUAGCGGAACGCCGAAGGAGAAAUCAGGCAGCUGGGCUUGUUCUGACGCUGAGGUACGAAAGCGUGGGGAGCGAACGGGAUUAGAUACCCCCGUAGUCC